GACGAACGCUGGCGGCGUGCUUAACACAUGCAAGUCGAACGGAAAGGCCUGCUUUCCCUUGUGGAUUGCGGGUACUCGAGUGGCGAACGGGUGAGUAACACGUGAGUGAUCUGCCCCCAACUUGGGUAUAAGCCUGGGAAACUGGGUCUAAUUCCCGAUAGGACUGCAGUGUGGUGCCUGUGGUGGAAAACGAUUUUCUAGUGGUUGGGGAUGAGCUCGCGGCCUAUCAGCUUGUUGGUGGGGUAAUGGCCUACCAAGGCGGCGACGGGUAGCCGGCCUGAGAGGGUGGACGGCCACACUGGGACUGAGAUACGGCCCAGACUCCUACGGGAGGCAGCAGUGGGGAAUAUUGCACAAUGGGCGGAAGCCUGAUGCAGCGACGCCGCGUGGGGGAUGACGGCCUUCGGGUUGUAAACUCCUUUCGACCGCGAGGAAGCCACCUGGUUGGAAGGGUGGUGACGGUAGUGGUAGAAGAAGCACCGGCUAACUACGUG
rnacentral:rRNA from 1 species